AAAAGGAUGAGAAAAGCAGAAUACAAAAGGAAGAGCUUUAAAAGGAAUGUAGCUUUUAAGGGAAGAAAAUAACCACGCCACAUCAGUUCUGUUCUUGAUGGCCGAAGCUGUGCUGUUUGGGUUGAAUGUUACAUUUCAGAAGGCAUCAAGUUGCAAUGGGAAGGUAGCUUUUCUUUUUCUAGAGAAGAGAGUACAAAAUGACUGAAAUUCCUGCAAGGUGAUACACCGGUUCCUGCAAUUUUUCUAGGAGAUAAUAUGUGAGUCAUAUUAUCUCCUAAUUUCCUUCAAGUUUCACACAGGAAGGAGGAGCCUG
rnacentral:lncRNA from 1 species